rnacentral:rRNA from 1 species
AACGUAGGACACAAGCGUUAUCCGGAGUUACUGGGCGUAAAGGGCGUGUAGGCGGACGUGUAAGUCUAUUCUGAAAGCUCCUGGCCAAACUGGGAGAGGCGAAUGGAGACUGCAUAUCUAGAGUGAGGAAGAGGAAAGUGGAAUUCCGCGUGUAGUGGUGAAAUGCGUAGAGAUGCGGAGGAACACCAGUGGCGAAAGCGACUUUCUGGUCCUUAACUGACGCUGAGGCGCGAAAGCAUGGGGAGCGAACGGG